UACAGAGGAGCCAAGCGUUGUCCGGAUUUACUGGGCGUAAAGCGCACGCAGGCGGUUGCGCGCGUGGGGUGUGAAAUCUGGCCGCUUAACGGCCAGGCGCCAUCCCAUACGGCGCGACUGGAGUGAUGCAGAGGUCGAUGGAAUUGCCGGUGUAGUGGUGAAAUGCGUAGAUAUCGAGAGGAACACCUGCGGCGAAGGCGGGUUGCUGGGCUGAUACUGACGCUGAGGCGCGAAAGCCAGGGGAGCGAACGGG
rnacentral:rRNA from 1 species